rnacentral:rRNA from 1 species
AUAGUAAAGUGGCGAACGGGUGAGUAACGCGUAAAUAACUUGCCUUGGAGAUUGGGACAACAUUGGGAAACCAGUGCUAAUACCAAAUAAUGCAGCGGGCCCUUCGGGGCAUAGUUGUUAAAGUAGGCUUCGGCUUACACUUCAAGAUAGAUUUGCGUCCGAUUAGUUAGUUGGUAGGGUAAUAGCCUACCAAGACCGAGAUCGGUAGCUGGUCUGAGAGGAUGAUCAGCCACACUGGAAUUGAGAUACGGUCCAGACUCCUACGGGAGGCAGCAGUGAGGAAUUUUGCACAAUGGGCGAAAGCCUGAUGCAGCAACACCGCGUGAUUGAUGAAGUUUUUAGGAAUGUAAAAAUCUGUCGUAAGGGAAGAAAUGUUUCGGAUGUUAAUACCAUCUGUCAUUGACGGUACCUUACAAGAAAGGACCGGCUAACUUCGUG